rnacentral:rRNA from 1 species
UACGUAGGCAGCAAGCGUUGUUCGGAGUUACUGGGCGUAAAGGGUGCGUAGGCGGCUCUAUAAGUUUGGUGUGAAAUCUCCCGGCUCAACUGGGAGGGUGCGCCGAAUACUGAAUGACUAGAGUGCGGGAGAGGAGAGUGGAAUUCCUGGUGUAGCGGUGAAAUGCGUAGAUAUCAGGAGGAACACCGGUGGUGUAGACGGCUCUCUGGACCGUAACUGACGCUGAGGCACGAAAGCGUGGGUAGCAAACAGG